rnacentral:rRNA from 1 species
AGUGAACGCUGGCGGUAGGCCUAACACAUGCCAGUCGAACGGCAGCACAGUAAGAGCUUGCUCUUACGGGUGGCGAGUGGCGGACGGGUGAGGAAUAAAUCGGAAUCUACUUUUUCGUGGGGGAUAACGUAGGGAAACUUACGCUAAUACCGCAUACGACCUACGGGUGAAAGCAGGGGAUCUUCGGACCUUGCGCGAUUGAAUGAGCCGAUGUCGGAUUAGCUAGUGGGCGGGGUAAAGGCCCACCAAGGCGACGAUCCGUAGCUGGUCUGAGAGGAUGAUCCGCCACACUAGAACUGAGACACGGUCCAGACUCCUACGGGAGGCAGCAGUGGGGAAUAUUGGACAGUGGGCGCAAGCCUGAUCCAGCCCUACCGCGUGGGUGAAGAAGGCCUUCGGGUUGUAAAGCCCUUUUGUUGGGAAAGAAAAGCAGCAGGUUAAUACCCCGCUGUUCUGACGGUACCCAAAGAAUAAGCACCGGCUAACUUCGUG